rnacentral:rRNA from 1 species
UGGGGAAUAUUGCACAAUGGGGGAAACCCUGAUGCAGCGACGCCGCGUGAAGGAAGAAGUAUUUCGGUAUGUAAACUUCUAUCAGCAGGGAAGAAAGAAGACGGUACCUGACUAAGAAGUCCCGGCUAACUACGUGCCAGCAGCCGCGGUAAUACGUAGGGGGCAAGCGUUAUCCGGAUUUACUGGGUGUAAAGGGAGCGUAGGCGGCAUGGCAAGCUGGAUGUGAAAGGCCGGGGCUCAACCCCGGGACUGCAUUCGGAACUGCCAGGCUGGAGUGUUGGAGAGGUAAGCGGAAUUCCUAGUGUAGCGGUGAAAUGCGUAGAUAUUAGGAGGAACACCAGUGGCGAAGGCGGCUUACUGGACAAUAACUGACGCUGAGGCUCGAAAGCGUGGGGAGCAAACAGG